GCCGUGUUACUGUCCCAGGUGCUGGAUCAGUGGUUUGAGUCCGAGCCUCUAAAAGCUACUCUAGCAACGGAUGCUGUGAUUGGAGCCAUGACCA
rnacentral:pre_miRNA from 1 species